ensembl:snRNA U6 U6 spliceosomal RNA
UUACUUUUGCACCAACCUAAUAAAAUUAAAACGAUACAGAGAAGAUUAGCACGGCCUCAGCACAAGGAUGACACGCAAAUUCGUGAAGCGUUCCAUAUUUCU